rnacentral:rRNA from 1 species
AGCGAACGCUGGCGGCAGGCCUAACACAUGCAAGUCGAACGAACUCUUCGGAGUUAGUGGCGGACGGGUGAGUAACACGUGGGAACGUGCAUUUUGGUUCGGAAUAACUCAGGGAAACUUGUGCUAAUACCGAAUGUGCCCUUCGGGGGAAAGAUUUAUCGCCAUUAGAGCGGCCCGCGUCUGAUUAGCUAGUUGGUGAGGUAACGGCUCACCAAGGCGACGAUCAGUAGCUGGUCUGAGAGGAUGACCAGCCACACUGGGACUGAGACACGGCCCAGACUCCUACGGGAGGCAGCAGUGGGGAAUCUUGCGCAAUGGGCGAAAGCCUGACGCAGCCAUGCCGGGUGAAUGAUGAAGGUCUUAGGAUUGUAAAAUUCUUUCACCGGGGACGAUAAUGACGGUACCCGGAGAAGAAGCCCCGGCUAACUUCGUG